GUUUGAUCAUGGCUCAGAACGAACGCUGGCGGCGCGUCUUAAGCAUGCAAGUCGAGCGGCAGGGGGCAGCAAUGCUCCCGAGAGCGGCGGACUGGUGAGUAACGCGUGGGUGAUCUACCCUUGGGAUGGGGAUAGCCAUUAGAAAUAGUGGGUAAUACCGAAUACGCUCGCGUGACUAUGGUCGUGCGAGGAAAGGUCCUACGGGACCGUCCAAGGAUGAGCCUGCGGCCCAUUAGCUAGUUGGCGGGGUAAAAGCCCACCAAGGCGAUGAUGGGUAGCCGGCCUGAGAGGGUGUACGGCCACAUUGGGACUGAGAUACGGCCCAAACUCCUACGGGAGGCAGCAGCUAUGAAUAUUCCGCAAUGGGCGAAAGCCUGACGGAGCGACGCCGCGUGGACGAAGAAGGCCGAAAGGUUGUAAAGUCCUUUUGCCGGGGAAGAAUAAGGGCGGGAGGGAAUGCCCGCCUGAUGACGUGAACCGGUGAAUAAGCCCCGGCUAACUACGUGCCAGCAGCCGCGGUAACACGUAGGGGGCGAGCGUUGUUCGGAAUUAUUGGGCGUAAAGGGCAUGUAGGCGGUUACGUAAGCCCGGCGUAAAAUACCAUGGCUUAACCAUGGGGCUGCGUCGGGAACCGCGUGACUUGAGUUACCGAGAGGAAACCAGAAUUCCAGGUGUAGGGGUGAAAUCUGUAGAUAUCUGGAAGAAUACCAGAGGCGAAGGCGGGUUUCUAGCGGAUGACUGACGCUGAGGUGCGAAAGCGUGGGGAGCGAACAGGAUUAGAUACCCUGGUAGUCCACGCUCUAAACGAUGUGCACUAGGUGCUGGGGCAGGAGCUUCGGUGCCGUAGUUAACGUGUUAAGUGCACCGCCUGGGGAGUAUG
rnacentral:rRNA from 1 species